rnacentral:rRNA from 1 species
GAUGAACGCUAGCGGCAGGCUUAAUACAUGCAAGUCGAGGGGCAGCGGGGUAGCAAUACCGCCGGCGACCGGCAAACGGGUGCGGAACACGUACGCAACCUUCCCAAAACAGGUGAAUAGCCCUGCGAAAGUAGGAUUAAUACACCGUAAGAUAUGCGAGUGGCAUCACUUGUAUAUUAUAGGCAGCAAUGUCGGUUUUGGAUGGGCGUGCGCCUGAUUAGGUAGUGGUGCGGGUAACGGCCCACCAAGCCUCCGAUCAGUAACUGGUGUGAGAGCACGACCAGUCACACGGGCACUGAGACACGGGCCCGACUCCUACGGGAGGCAGCAGUAAGGAAUAUUGGUCAAUGGACGCAAGUCUGAACCAGCCAUGCCGCGUGCAGGAUGAAGGCCCUCUGGGUUGUAAACUGCUUUUAUCUGGGACGAAAAAGGGGAUUCUUCCUCACUUGACGGUACCAGAGGAAUAAGCACCGGCUAACUCCGUGCCAGCCGCCGCGGU